rnacentral:piRNA from 1 species
UGAACAGCUUCUUCAGCAGUGUGGAUGG